UACAUGUGUGUGUUUCACAGUCUGAUGUA
rnacentral:piRNA from 1 species